UACACGGAGAGUUUGAUCCUGGCUCAGAACUAACGCUAGUGGCGUGUCUUAGUCAUGCGAGUCGAGCGAGAAAGUCUUCUUCGGAAGACGAGUAGAGCGGCGAACGGGUGAGUAACGCGUGGGUAAUCUUCCUUUGAGUUGGGGAUAACAUUCCUAACGGAAUGCUAAUACCGAAUGUGGAGUACGGUUCUUGGGCCGUACUCUAAAGGCGGCCUCUGCUUGCAUGCUGUCGCUCGAAGAUGAGCCCGCGUCCUAUUAGCUUGUUGGUGAGGUAACGGCUCACCAAGGCAACGAUGGGUAGCCGGCCUGAGAGGGUGAGCGGCCACACUGGCACUGAGACAAGGGCCAGUCCCCUACGGGGGCCAGCAGUCUAGAAAUUUGCGCAAUGGGCGAAAGCCUGACGCAGCGACGCCACGUGGAGGAUGAAGCCCCUCGGGGUGUAAACUCCUGUCAGGAGGGAAGAAGGUGCGGGUGAUAAUACCAUCCGUUACUUGACGGUACCUCCAGAGGAAGCUCCGGCUAACUGCGUGCCAGCAGCCGCGGUAAUACGUGGGGAGCAAGCGUUGUUCGGAUUUACUGGGCGUAAAGAGCUCGUAGGCGGAUGUGUAAGUCGGAUGUGAAAUCCUUUGGCUCAACCAGAGAACUGCAAUCGAAACUGCAUACCUUGAGUCCAACAGAGGGAAUCGGAAUCCAAGGUGUAGCGGUGAAAUGCGUAGAUAUCUUGGAGAACACCAGUGGCGAAGGCGGAUUCCUGGGCUGACACUGACGCUGAGGAGCGAAAGCUGGGGGAGCGAACAGGAUUAGAUACCCUGGUA
rnacentral:rRNA from 1 species